CGAGUACGGACUUCGGUCCAUAUGUACGAGUGGCGAACGGGUGAGUAACACGUGAGAAACCUGCCUCGGAGACCGGGACAACCAUUGGAAACGAUGGCUAAUACCGGAUGCCCUCGAACGGUCGCGUGGCCGAUCGAGGAAAUGAUCCGUUGCUCCGGGAGGGUCUCGCGGCCUAUCAGCUUGUUGGUGAGGUAAUGGCUCACCAAGGCAUCGACGGGUAGCUGGUCUGAGAGGACGAUCAGCCACACUGGAACUGAGACACGGUCCAGACUCCUACGGGAGGCAGCAGCAGGGAAUAUUGCACAAUGGGCGAAAGCCUGAUGCAGCGACACCGCGUGCGGGAUGACGGCCUUAGGGUUGUAAACCGCUUUCAGGAGGGAAGAAAAUGACGGUACCUCCAGAAGAAGCUCCGGCCAACUACGUGCCAGCAGCCGCGGUAAUACGUAGGGAGCAAACGUUGUCCGGAUUUAUUGGGCGUAAAGGGCUCGUAGGCGGUUCAACAAGUCGGUCGUGAAAGUCUGGGGCUCAACCCCAGGAAGCCGGUCGAAACUGUUGUGACUAGAGUUCGGUAGAGGUGAGUGGAACUCUCGGUGUAGCGGUGGAAUGCGCAGAUAUCGAGAAGAACACCAUUAGCGAAGGCGGCUCACUGGGCCGAUACUGACGCUGAGGAGCGAAAGCAUGGGGAGCAAACAGGAUUAGAUACCCUGGUAGUCCAUGCCGUAAACGAUGAACACUAGGUGUAGCGGAUUAAUUCAUGUCUGCUGUG
rnacentral:rRNA from 1 species